rnacentral:miRNA from 1 species
CUAGAGGGUAACGAAACGACA